ACCGCUUGCUUCAAACUACGAAACCUCGCGGCUGUACGUACCUUUCUGCUAGCUUUCUCCUUGCUGUGAACCCUAGAGCUUUCUGCUUGCUUUCUCCUUACUGUGAACCCUACACCUUUCUGCUUGCUCCUUUCUUUGACAUUGACCUCAGCUCUUUGACAUUGAAGCCCUACCCCUUCUUCCAUUGAAGCUCCUUUCUUUGGCAUUGACCUCACCUCUUCGACUUCAUCGCUCCAACUUCUCAGCUCGAAGUUUCCUGAAGACAGAGAUUGGGAACAUGCGCGCAUGUCAUCGAUGAGUUGUUGAUGAAGAAGCUGAUGCAUUUUUGAGUGGGCUGCAAACGGAUAGAAGAAUAUAAAGCAGAAAUCAAUAGACUUGAAGCAUCCCAGGCAGAAAUUAAAGCACUAGCUGUUAAUUAUGCUGCUCUGUUAAAAGAAAAAGAGGUAUGGAUGGUAUUUGUUAAUUUGGUGUGGUUCAUGUCUUCAUGUUAGUUUGCUUUUUAAUUUAUUUGACAAUGAGCUGUAGUUUAGCAAACUUUAUAUGUUAUUAUUUUUCAAUUUUUUAUUUUUAUUUCAAUUUGGUUGCUGAAUAAAUUCAUUGAACACGUCUACUUCCUCUUGUCUG